GGUUUACCUGUGUGACUGCGUACCUUUUGUAUAAUGGGUCAGCGACUUAUAUUCUGUAGCAAGGUUAACCGUAUAGGGGAGCCGGAGGGAAACCGAGUCUUAAUUGGGCGUUAAGUUGCAGGGUAUAGACCCGAAACCCGGUGAUCUAGCCAUGGGCAGGUUGAAGGUUGGGUAACACUAACUGGAGGACCGAACCGACUAAUGUUGAAAAAUUAGCGGAUGACCUGUGGCUGGGGGUGAAAGGCCAAUCAAACCGGGAGAUAGCUGGUUCUCCCCGAAAGCUAUUUAGGUAGCGCCUCGUGAAUUCAUCUCCGGGGGUAGAGCACUGUUUCGGCUAGGGGGCCAUCCCGGCUUACCAACCCGAUGCAAACUGCGAAUACCGGAGAAUGUUAUCACGGGAGACACACGGCGGGUGCUAACGUCCGUCGUGAAGAGGGAAACAACCCAGACCGCCAGCUAAGGUCCCAAAGUCAUGGUUAAGUGGGAAACGAUGUGGGAAGGCCCAGACAGCCAGGAUGUUGGCUUAGAAGCAGCCAUCAUUUAAAGAAAGCGUAAUAGCUCACUGGUCGAGUCGGCCUGCGCGGAAGAUGUAACGGGGCUAAACCAUGCACCGAAGCUGCGGCAGCGACACUGUGUGUUGUUGGGUAGGGGAGCGUUCUGUAAGCCUGUGAAGGUGUGUCGUGAGGCAUGCUGGAGGUAUCAGAAGUGCGAAUGCUGACAUAAGUAACGAUAAAGCGGGUGAAAAGCCCGCUCGCCGGAAGACCAAGGGUUCCUGUCCAACGUUAAUCGGGGCAGGGUGAGUCGACCCCUAAGGCGAGGCCGAAAGGCGUAGUCGAUGGGAAACGGGUUAAUAUUCCCGUACUUGGUGUUACUGCGAAGGGGGGACGGAGAAGGCUAUGUUGGCCGGGCGACGGUUGUCCCGGUUUAAGCGUGUAGGUGUGUGUUCCAGGUAAAUCCGGUUCACUUUAACACUGAGGCGUGACGACGAGGCACUACGGUGCUGAAGCAACAAAUGCCCUGCUUCCAGGAAAAGCCUCUAAGCAUCAGGUAACAUCAAAUCGUACCCCAAACCGACACAGGUGGUCAGGUAGAGAAUACCAAGGCGCUUGAGAGAACUCGGGUGAAGGAACUAGGCAAAAUGGUGCCGUAACUUCGGGAGAAGGCACGCUGACACGUAGGUGAAGUGAUUUACUCAUGGAGCUGAAGUCAGUCGAAGAUACCAGCUGGCUGCAACUGUUUAUUAAAAACACAGCACUGUGCAAACACGAAAGUGGACGUAUACGGUGUGACGCCUGCCCGGUGCCGGAAGGUUAAUUGAUGGGGUCAGCGCAAGCGAAGCUCCUGAUCGAAGCCCCGGUAAACGGCGGCCGUAACUAUAACGGUCCUAAGGUAGCGAAAUUCCUUGUCGGGUAAGUUCCGACCUGCACGAAUGGCGUAAUGAUGGCCAGGCUGUCUCCACCCGAGACUCAGUGAAAUUGAACUCGCUGUGAAGAUGCAGUGUACCCGCGGCAAGACGGAAAGACCCCGUGAACCUUUACUAUAGCUUGACACUGAACAUUGAGCCUUGAUGUGUAG
rnacentral:rRNA from 2 species